rnacentral:rRNA from 1 species
AGCCUGAACGCUGGCGGCGUGGCUAAGACAUGCAAGUCGUACGGAUGUAGCAAUACAUCAGUGGCGAACGGGUGAGUAAUGAAUCGCUAACGUGCCCCGGACUCUGGGAUAGCCGGUCGAAAGGCCGGGUAAUACCAGAUGAUAUACCUCUAUCGCAUGAUAGAGGUCUCAAAGGUCCGCCGGUCUGGGAGCGGGCGAUUUCGUAUCAGCUAGUUGGUGAGGUAACGGCUCACCAAGGCGACGACGCGUAGCCGGACUGAGAGGUUGGCCGGCCACAUUGGGACUGAGACACUGCCCAGACUCCUACGGGGGGCUGCAGUAACGAAUCUUCCGCAAUGCACGAAAGUGUGACGGAGCGACGCCGCGUGUGGGACGAAGCCCUUCGGGGUGUAAACCACUGUCAGAGGAAGAAAGUUCUGAUCUACUCAGAGGAGAGGCGGCUAACGUCUGUGCCAGCAGCCGCGGU